GACGAACGCUGGCGGCGUGCUUAACACAUGCAAGUCGAGCGGAAAGGCCCCUUCGGGGGUACUCGAGCGGCGAACGGGUGAGUAACACGUGGGUAAUCAACCCCUGACAUCGAGAUACCCCGGGGAAACCCGGAUCAAUACCGGAUAAGGUGCGGAGGCGCAGGCCGCCGUACCAAAGGUAGCUUCGGCUUCCGGUCAGGGACGAGCCCGCGGCCCAUUAGCUUGUCGGUGGGGUAAUGGCCCACCAAGGCGACGAUGGGUAGCUGGUCUGAGAGGACGAUCAGCCACACUGGGACUGAGACACGGCCCAGACUCCUACGGGAGGCAGCAGUGGGGAAUCUUGCGCAAUGGGCGGAAGCCUGACGCAGCAACGCCGCGUGCGGGAAGAAGGCCUUAGGGUCGUAAACCGCUUUCAGGGGGGACGAAGCUUCCGGGGUGAAUAGCCUGCGGGGUGAUGGUACUCCCAGAAGAAGGUCCGGCUAACUACGUGCCAGCAGCCGCAGUAA
rnacentral:rRNA from 1 species